ACGGGUGAGUAACACGUAUGCAAUCCACCUGUAACAGGGGGAUAACCCGGAGAAAUCCGGACUAAUACCCCAUAAUAUGGGCGCUCCGCAUGGAGAGUCCAUUAAAGAGAGCAAUCUUGGUUACAGACGAGCAUGCGCUCCAUUAGCCAGUUGGCGGGGUAACGGCCCACCAAGGCGACGAUACAUAGGGGGACUGAGAGGUUAACCCCCCACACUGGUACUGAGACACGGACCAG
rnacentral:rRNA from 1 species